rnacentral:rRNA from 1 species
UGGGGAAUAUUGGGGCAAAUGGGACGCAAGUCUGACCCAGCAACGCCGCGUGAAGGAAGAAGGCUUUCGGGUUGUAAACUUCUUUUAAGAGGGAAGAGUAGAAGACGGUACCUCUUGAAUAAGCCACGGCUAACUACGUGCCAGCAGCCGCGGUAAUACGUAUGGAGCAAGCGUUAUCCGGAUUUACUGGGUGUAAAGGGAGUGUAGGCGGCUUUGCAAGUCAGAUGUGAAAGCCCGGGGCUCAACCCCGGGACUGCAUUUGAAACUGUGAAGCUGGAGUGUCGGAGAGGUAAGUGGAAUUCCUAGUGUAGCGGUGAAAUGCGUAGAUAUUAGGAAGAACACCAGUGGCGAAGGCGGCUUACUGGACGAUUACUGACGCUGAGGCUCGAAAGCGU